ACUUGGGGCCCUUUAGUUUCGCAUCUGGACCUUCGAUAUUCACAUCAGGAACAUCAACGUCCACUUUGGGUCCUGAGACAUCAAUGUCAGCCUUGGGCAGGUUCACAUCCACAUCUGGGCCCUCUCCUUUGAAGCCAGGCAUGCUGAACUUGGGCAUUUUCACUUUGGGCAUUUUUAAGUGCCAGUCUGGGCCUUGAACGUCCACAUCUGGGACAUCAAUGUCCACUUUGGGGCCCUUGAUGUCAACUUCAGGCAUAGAGAUCUUCGGUGCCUUGAGGUGCAGGUCAGGCAUUUUAAAUUUGGGGCCCUUCAGUUUCCCUUCUGGACCAUGAAUAUCAAUAUCAGGAGUGUCAAUGUCCACUUUGGGUCCUGAGACAUCAAUGUCAGCCUUGGGCAGGUUCACAUCCACAUCUGGGCCCUCUCCUUUGAAGCCAGGCAUGCUGAACUUGGGCAUUUUCACCUUGGGCAUCUUCAGCUUCCCUUCUGGACCUUCAAGGCUCACAUCUGGGACUUCAACAUCCACCUUGGGUCCUGAGACAACAACAUCAGCCUUGGGCAAGUUCACAUCCACUUCUGGGCCCUCUGCUUUGAAGCCAGGCAUGCUGAACUUGGGCAUUUUCAUCUUGGGCAUCUUCAGGUGCCAGUCUGGGCCUUGAACCUCCACAUCUGGGGCAUCAAUGUCCAUUUUGGGUCCUUUGAUUUCAACAUCUGGCACUUUCAUUUCACCUUCUACCUUGGGCACAGACACAUCUGGGGCAUCAAUGUCCA
rnacentral:lncRNA from 1 species